CGGGCCUUUCACAUCUAAUCCUCUUCCCGCUGCCCUCCUGGAAAAGACGCCCUGAAAUUUCAUGCUAAUUACGUAACAUAUGUUAAGUCCCAGUAAACAUUUUACUAAAUCUGAACGAUGGAUUGCCACCGGCGGAGAGCAUUUCACGUCCUAGAGCUGAUGCGACAACGCACACGUCCUUGGCACAAAGCACAUGCUCUAUAAAUGUGGGUGAUGAAGGGCCACGGGGCCUUAGGGGACGCGACUAGAUCUAUAAUAUACAUAUGUCGUCGUGAUUACUCAUUUGGGAGUCAGGCUAACAAGGCUGAGAGAGCUGUGGGUGACGUGCCUAGUGAAGAACUGGGGCAUCUACACGCGGAGCCAGUAAACCCUUCGAACCCACCGUUCCGUUAUUCUCAUAUUUGUCAUCCUGUGUUAUCGGGGCAAUUGCUUCACCUCUCCGCAUUGUGUACGAGACCCGGCCAGGAAAUGAUGCAAUUACCAAAGGAGUCAAGAAACCUUCCAGCUCAGCCUCAAUUCAGAAACCCCCAUGAAAUAGGAGCAGAAGGCCAUAGGAUGUAACUCAGCUUUGAAAGUACCAACCAUUACAGCUGAACAAAUGUGACCCAAGAGACUCCGCUCCGCUGCAAGAUGGAGGGAGGGUUAAGUAAAAUACAUAUAAAUUUGUAAUGACCUUGCUUACAACAUCCGGCGCCACUGUGAGUUACAGCCAUCAUCCAUCACCACAGAAUUCAGAUGGGGCACACACCUCUUUCCUGUAUCAAGGAAUUUUUAGGAAAUCGAGUUCAGUAGAGGGAGCUCUUACUUCUCGUUUGGGGAUUACCAGAGCUCAGCAUUAGAGAAUUCGGUUUUGAAUAAAAAGACCUACAGAAUAUUGGAAAUAUAGGACAAUGAAGACACAUACGUACCCUUCGUCUACACCUAUGCUGUCCAAUUUAGCAGCACCAGCAACAUGCGGCUAUUGUGCAUUGAAAUGUGGCUAGUACGAAUUUAGAUCCUCUAGAAGCGUUAAAUGCUUACUGAAUUUUUAAGUCUUAGUAUGAAAAAUAAAAGAAUGUAAAGUAUGUGUAAUAAUUUUUACAUUGAUUA